GAGAGCAAGCUGGAGGGAGUCGUGGGAAUGGGAGGAUCGGGAAAAACCAGAUCUGAUUCCUUCCUUCCGAUUGGAUGGACGGAUUUUCUUUUCCUUUUCCGAUUCCACCCAUUCCUAUCAUUCCCUCCUGUUCCUCUCCUUCCUCUUCUUUCCCUCUCUUCUUCUUCAUUACAGAUCUGAUUCACCAGCUACGUGGUAGAGGCGAAGCCGAAGUGAGAGCGUUUAUUUGGAGGUUUAUUGAGCCAACACCUUUUCACAAAUUUUUGGAUGUUCGUUCUUGUUUAAGUGAGGCUAUGCGGAUAAUGAUUUGGAAAUAUUUGGUGUUUUUAUUAGUAAUUAACACAUCAUGUUGAUUCUAAUCCUAUUUGAACUCCUAA